CAGUAUUAUGGCUUGUCCAUCAUUAUCUAUUUACUGUGAACUGUAUUAUUACUUGACGCUUGAGGGAUGUUCCAUUGCUAUAAGGAUAGGCACUGGAAAUGUUAACCGAGUCAUAAUCAAGCUUAGGCUUGGUAUCCUAUUAUUAUUUACCAAAAGAAUUCAGAAUUAAUAUUGUAACAUAGACGUAAAAAAUCUAUAAAACAACUUUUAACAACGGAUCUCUUGGUUCUCGCAUCGAUGAAGAACGUAGCAAAGUGCGAUAACUAGUGUGAAUUGCAUAUUCAGUGAAUCAUCGAGUCUUUGAACGCAACUUGCGCUCAUUGGUAUUCCAAUGAGCACGCCUGUUUCAGUAUCAAAACAAACCCUCUAUCCAACUUUUGUUGAAUAGGAUGACUGAGAGUCUCUUGAUCUAUUCUGAUCUUGAACCUCUUGAAAUGUACAAAGGCCUGAUCUUGUUUGAAUGCCUGAACUUUUUUUUAAUAUAAAGAGAAGCUCUUGCGAUAAAACUGUGCUGGGGCCUCCCAAAUAACACAUCUUUAAAUUUGAUCUGAAAUCAGGUGGGAUUACCCGCUGAACUUAAGCAUAUCAAUAACCGGGAGGAAAA
rnacentral:rRNA from 1 species